GCCUCCCCUUCCUUCAGCUCCUGCUUGAAGGGAAAACAAAGGACGUGCAUCUGGCCGGCUUUGCUUAUUAUGGCUCUUUGUUAUCCAGCAGAGGACUGGAUUCAUCAUGGAGCUCUUUCUGUGUUCGGUCUUCUCGGUCGUUUUUGCCUGAGGAAACAAAAGAUGUGGUGACUGCGAAGCCUCUUCCUGCCAAGGAAGUCUGUGAGCUAAUGUGCCCAGCCGAGAAUAUUCCCAAGGAGUCUGGUCCCCGCAUGCCUCCUUGUGGGAUACUUUGGACAUCAGCUCUUCUCACUGAUCACGCGGGUCCUUGUGGCAGAGCAUGCUUGAGGCUGAUUGAGGUAAGGCACAUGGGACAUCCCAAGGCGCGUUUUCUUAUGAUGCUGUCUUAUUACAUGCUUUUCACUUGAGUUGUGUUCUCUGCACUGGCUGCCCUGCCAUCUUCCCUGAUUGCCUUCUAGGGGCCACAUCCCUUGCCACCAUGCCCGCUGAAGCCCCCGGGGCUUUUCUCCAGGCUUCCUGAGCCCAGGAAGAUGCUGCCUUUGCUCUGUGCCGUUUUGUACUAGUAGCUGCGCCUCAGUAUCCCACAGCUGGGCAAAGCUGGUUGGGAUCUGAUUCUCUCCUCUAACGUGUUGGCGAUCCUUCUCAACUCAGAGACAGCCUGGAGGGUCAGAUGGAGGGCUGGAGAGCCAGAAUAACCCGGGAACGUCUCUUAGAUGCUGGAUUCAGUCAAACUCUCUCUACAGCGUCUCCCUGACCUACCCAUCCCCUAACCGUGUUCAUGGUGUGCCCCGGCUUAUUCUUAGGAGGCUGAGCCUGCUCUCUGAGACGGCUGCUUACUCUUCCAAAGAGCCCUUCACUAGCCCCUUCAUAAUGCAUUUUAUAAUUUUGCAUCUCAGCCCGGAUCACGCGCCUCCAUCGCAGGGUCCCCAGGAUCUCUUAGUGCUCCGGGCUCUGGGCUGGAGGCACACUGGCACAAAACCCACCAUUGCCUUUUCUCUAGGAGCAGAGAAGUAAAUAUGAAGUGAUGUGGGGUGGGGGGUCAAGAGAGACC
rnacentral:lncRNA from 1 species